rnacentral:rRNA from 1 species
UACGUAGGGCGCAAGCGUUGUCCGGAAUUAUUGGGCGUAAAGGGCGCGUAGGCGGCUUGGCAAGUGGAAGGUGAAAUCCCUCGGCUUAACCGAGGAACUGCCUUCCAAACUGCUUGGCUUGAGUCCGGGAGAGGUGAGUGGAAUUCCCAGUGUAGCGGUGAAAUGCGUAGAUAUUGGGAGGAACACCAGUGGCGAAGGCGGCUCACUGGACCGGAACUGACGCUGAUGCGCGAAAGCGUGGGGAGCAAACGGG